rnacentral:sRNA from 1 species
CUUCUAAUUAUGUUUAUAACAGAAACUUAAAAACAAAUAGACAGACAGAAGCCAUUCGAUGUUCAUCAGACUGGCCAUUUCAGCCAUACCUUGUGUUUGAUGUUGGAGAUGGUUCAGAAAGACGGGAUAAUGACUCAUAUAUAAAUGUUCAAGAAAUAAAACUGGUGAUGGAAAUAAUUAAGCUUAUUAAAGACAAAAAAAAGGAUGUUAGUUUUCGAAACAUUGGCAUAAUAACUCAUUACAAGGCCCAGAAGACGAUGAUUCAGAAGGAUUUGGACAAAGAGUUCGAUAGAAAAGGGUGAGGCGUUUUUAUAAAUAUUUCCAGUUUUCUUGUUGAAUUAGAAUGAGAGGAUAUAGAAGGAAAGAAGAAAAGGGAAACUCUUAAGGAGUGGUCUGUGCAAAUUGGUGAUACGGCACGAGGAAGCUGGGAUGCUGCUGGCUUUCAUGGACUUGUGCUGUGUGGCUCCUGGGUAGACAGGGUACUUCCUGGCAGUUGGAAUGUCAACAUUCUCCUUGGCAGUGGAAUUGACUAAGAAACUUGCCAGGUCUUUACCUUUUAGUUCCAUGACUUGUUCAUCUGAAUUCUUGUUCUAGCAAGACUAAAAGUAACAUUUCACUUUAAAUAAAUGAU